UACGUAGGGGGCUAGCGUUGUCCGGAUUUAUUGGGCGUAAAGCGCACGCAGGCGGCUCUUCAAGUCUGACGUGAAAUCUCUCGGCUUAACCGGGAGCGGUCGUUGGAAACUGAAGGGCUUGAGGCGAUGAGAGGGGUGUGGAAUUCCCGGUGUAGUGGUGGAAUGCGUAGAUAUCGGGAGGAACAUCAGUGGCGAAAGCGGCACCCUGGCAUUAGCCUGACGCUCAUGUGCGAAAGCGUGGGGAGCGAACGGG
rnacentral:rRNA from 1 species